UUUUUCACCCUGACAACCUAUGCCAUUCCAUGGACCCAGGAUGAAUUUGAUCGUCUUGUGCUGGGCCACACUCAAUGGUUCUUUGAAACAGAACAUCUUCUGAAGAGAUAUUCAAGAAGUAUGGCGAUUAUGAACAAUAUGUCUGUGGUCUUUCAUAGGUCUUGUGUGGAGCUACUACAUAAUGAGGCCCUGAUCAGGCACCUGAAUGCUACUUCCUUUGAUGUGGUGUUAACAGACCCGGUUAACCUCUGCGGGGUGGUGCUGGCUAAGUACCUGUCGAUUCCUACUGUGUUUUUUUUGAGGAGCAUUCCAUGUGACUUAGACUUUGAGGGCACACAGUGUCCAAAUCCUUACUCCUAUAUUCCUAAGUUACUAACGACCAAUUCAGACCACAUGACAUUCCUGCAAAGAGUCAAGAACAUGGUCUACCCUCUGGCCCUGUCCUACAUUUGCCAUGCUCUUUCUGCUCCUUAUGCAAGUCUUGCCUCUGAGCUUUUUCAGAGAGAGGUGUCAGUGGUGGAUCUUGUCAGCCAUGCAUCCGUGUGGCUGUUCCGAUCAGACUUUGUGAUGGACUACCCCAGGCCUAUCAUGCCCAACAUGGUCUUCAUUGGAGGCAUCAACUGUGCCAACAGGAAACAACUAUCUCGGGUCUGUAUUGGUGCCUUCAUCCAAUCAAUGUUCCAGGCAAAACUCUUUUUAAAAAAUGUAUUUACUUCCAAGUGCUUCCAUAUCUACUUAUCUUUCUAAAGAUUUUAUUUUUGCUUCUUUGUCGUAACAGUCUUCAGUGAGAUAAACUGUUGAGGGGACUAGUGUAUUUCAGGUUUUCAGUGGUCACUGAGAGGAAGAAGAGGUACGGAUGAGGGUCUAUCAAAGGAUGGGCAAGGACUGCUGUGACUCACGGACACUGUUUGUAAAGGCACCGUCUUCAUGGUUGUGCAUGUCCUUCAGUUGGGGAGGAGCAGGGACACUACAUUCAGAACUGAUCUAUCCUGGGGUUUUUGGCUUGCCUGAUUUUCAGUGGAAAGAUGAUGCAACAGUAAGUUAUAAUUGUUGACAUGAUAAUUUUUCGUGGUCCCAUCUUGCCAAAGAUAGAGAGGUGACCACAGGAGACCUAAGCACUCACAGGAAGUAGAAGUGUCAAAGAGGUUGACUCAGUUCAGUGGAAGUGGGACAGUGAAGGUGGGAUGAAUGUCUGUGAUCAGAGAAUGAAACAUGGAGUUCAGUUUCCAGAGAGGGAUCUGUGCUGACAGAAGUUUUUCUGAUCAGGAGUUGGGGGUCUGGUGUAUGAUGUGGGGACAUCGUAGAGUUGGGAAGGUACAGUGAUGGUUGCAUGUCGAAAAGGGUCGUCUUCUCCUUGUAAUGCUGAAAUUAUCAAGAGAGGGUGGAAGGGACUAGGGAGGAGAUAAGACUGUGAACCUAUAAGCCCAGUGAAGCUGCGACCAGUGAUGAAUGGACAUCUGUGCAAGAAGGAAAGGGUUUCUCUGGAGGGGCUGAGCACAUCACCAAACCCACCCUAUCCCACUCCAAGUUUCUAUAGUGAGAUCUAUUCUUUUUCCAAAAAU